rnacentral:rRNA from 1 species
UACAGAGGUCUCAAGCGUUUGUUCGGAUUCAUUGGGCGUAAAGGGUGUGUAGGUGGCGCCGUAAGUCGGGUGUGAAAUCUCGGGGCUUAACUCCGAAACUGCAUUCGAUACUGCGGUGCUUGAGGACUGGAGAGGAGACUGGAAUUCAUGGUGUAGCAGUGAAAUGCGUAGAGAUCAUGAGGAAGACCAGUGGCGAAAGGCGGGUCUCUGGACAGUUCCUGACACUGAGACACGAAGGCCAGGGGAGCAAACGGG